rnacentral:lncRNA from 1 species
UUCCUCCGCUAGAUGUGGGCAGAGGAGGCCCAUUCCCUGGCCACAGAGCACAGGGGCCCCUGUCUCUCCCGGUGCCUUUCAGGAAUCUGUUGAAUGCCACUCUGGCUGACGGCGCCCCUCUACCAGCCACCCCCAAGACCAUCGUCCUCCCUCAGGACAAAUGAGGCCUUGGGGCAACCAGGUGGCAGAGGGAUCACCUUGAUCUCCUCCCCAGUCCGGUUUUGGCAGACAGGGCCCAACCUCGAUUUCCAAAGAAGGAUGCAAGGACCCGAGCAGAAGGAUUUCAGAGGAGCUUAGACACAGCUGAAGGGAGUGGGAACCCUGUGCCGUACGACACGUGCGCCCUCGAGGAGGAGGAGAGAAUCAUGGAGCAAGCACAGAGAGCAGAAACGUCAAGAUGGGCAUGUGUGGAUUUGGGGUCCAGGAAGGAAAGAUGGAGAGAGAGCCUGAGUGUUUCUGAGGCAGUAUUUCGAGAUUCCAAGACUGACAGGGACCCCAAGCCAUCCUUUGGGCCACAAGAACCACCCCCGCAGGCGUCACCACCAAGAAUAUCCCAUCUGAGAUUGGAAGAGGAAAUGUGCUGAUCGCUACCUCAAGGUCUGAGACAUGUACAGAGAGGGGACCUCCUUCCCAGUCGAAAGACUGGAAGCAGGGACGUGAAGUGUUGGAAGGACAAAACAAAGAGCUGAACUGCAACGGCUCUUCCAACUGCUGGUCCGAAGCCUUGGCCAGGUCAGGCGCACCUGCAGGACACCCAGGAAAGACAACAAGGUGGGGAAAAGAAGAAUCAUACUCGGCCGCACGGCUGAACACAGCCACUUGGCCACACAUCCACAAGGUGAGCGGGAGGAAUGGGGAGUGCAGGGAGGCCCGAGCCAUGCAGGCCAGCCCCAUCCCUCUACUCGCAGGGGCAGAUCCGGAGGCCUGGGCUGGGCCUCCAGGCGCUGAAGCCCCUGAUUCAGCAAAAGUGCCUGGAACCACACAGGCAGUCCUGUCUCGGGGUCACAGGGCAGACUGUAUCCUCCACUGUCCCAGGCGAGCCUUCAAAGAUGACCUGAGGAAGGGAUGUCAGUGCUAGGCUCCUGGUCCACUUGGUCAGCCUGGCCCUAUCCGGCCAGCUCCAUCUUCCAAGCCAGAACCAUCCAUCCUUGCUUCUUGCCUUACUUCCUUCUCCAUUCAUCCUUUCAAUCCUUCAUCUGCAGGUCCCACUGAUGGACGCAGACCACAGCAUGCGCCUGCACAAGCACCUGGCCAGCGGCAGAGGGCGUGCCCACUCUCUCCGAGCCAGAUGGACCCGUCGCUUAGCAACCGCGUGGCUCGUUGUGAGGCCAGAGGCGCUCGUUGCCGCACACGCGCGGUGGGGUUGGAGGGCUGGCUUCCACUCCAGGGCGCUGGGCUCUCGGAGGGGUGAGGGAGAGGCCAGGAUGACCAAUGGGAGCGGUGAGAGGAGGGGGGGAGGUGAGGGCGUGCCCACUUUCCUCUCCUCAGGUCCCUGAGAACCCAGAUCUCUGGGUCGCUGCUGCGGCUGCCGCUGCCAUUUCUCC